rnacentral:lncRNA from 1 species
UCUCUCCUUUCCCCAGAAGAGAUAUGAGGACUCAGGCUUUGAGAUGCACUGGGGGCAGAAUGCUUUGGUUCACCUGAAAUGGCUUUUCAGAGGAGGUACAGCUGUUCGAUGUGUUACGGCCCCAUCCAGUCCCCUGUGAAAGAGGCUGCAGCAUUUCCUCACUGCCUAUUUAGCCACACCCCGCCAGGACAGAGCGUAACCUAGCAGCUUCCGGAUUUAAUGCAUGGAAUGAUCAACAGGCUGCAAGAGGAAGUGACUGGGCCAGGGGCCCAGAGUCACAAGCUCAUUCAGUCCUAGGCCUUGUAAAUUCCAAGUCCCUGGCCAUGGAUGAGCCUUGGACUGCUUUUCUCAAGCCCUAGAGGUGAAGUCAGCCACCUUCCAUAUCCUAGGCUCAUGCAGGGUGCUGGGACAUUGAUAACUCAGACCACUUCCUGCCCUUGAAAGGCUGAGAAGAAAAUUCGUUUUACCGCAAUGCAGAGGUCUCAGACCAUCAGUUGCACAGCAUAGAAGAGAUUAGAAUCCUGAAUAUGCCCUUUGCACCUGGAAAGACCCUUGUUUGACUCCAGAAAACCCUCCAGGGCUCCUUUACCAAGUACCAGCUCAUAGAAACAGCUAAAGAAAAAUCUAUUAAAGUCAUUUAUUUACAAUCAUAGAAAUUUUAGAGCUAGAGGAAAAUUCAAGGUAAUCUGGUCCCAAACUGUUAGUUCACAGGAGAGGAAGCUAGAUCUACAAUUACACAAUUAUACCAUCACUGUGGUGUGCAAACUGUCCCCAAGACUGUCAUCUUAAUAAUGCAUGUCAUUUGCUGUUGGAAAAAAAAAAUACAUUGAAUAUUUAGGUGAGGCCCCAAGCUACACAUACCAUGAUCACAUUCGAUCCUCCCAAUAGUAAAAUGGGUGUGUUUAUUCCAUCUAAUAAAUGAGGAAACAGAAGCACAGAGACAUUAAGUGACAUGCUCAAGGUCACACAGCUGGUAAAUGAUGGAUUAAGGAUUUGAACUCAGACUCAAUUGUUUUCAAAGCAUCUAUUCCAAUGAGAAUGAAAAUGUUGGCCAGGCACAGUGUCUCACGCUUGUAAUCCUAGCACUUUGGGAGGCCGAGGCGGGUAGAUCACCUGAGGUCAGGAGUUCUAUACCAGCAUGGACAACAUGGCGAAAUCCCGUCUCUACUAAAAAUAUAAAAAUUAGCCAGGCAUGGUAGCGCAUGCCUGUAAUCCCACCUACUCGGGAAGCUGAGAAUCGUUUGAACCCGGGAGGUGGAGGUUGCAGUGAGCUGAGAUUGCACCACCACACUCCAGCCUGUGCAACGGGAGUGAGACUCCAUCUCAAGAAAAAAAAAAAAGAAAGAAAGAAAGAAAGAAAAUGUAUUGAAUUAAUGUUACUGAAAUAAGGCCAGAAAACCUAGAUUCUAUUUCUAAAUUUACCACUAACAAGUUGUAGGAACUGGGAAAGACCUUUCAUUCACUGGGACCUAGCUUCCUGUUCCAUAAAUGGAGAGAACAGAGCUGGGUCAGUGAUGGCAAUAUGUGACCACUUUCUCAUCCUAUGCCCAAGACAGAUGUGACUGUAAGACCAGGGUACCAUUUCUGCCUGAGCUCAAAGUAGGCUUCUAAUGUAGAGCUUUAUCCAGCCCCUCCCAAACAAUUGCUAUUGGCACAAAUAAAAUGCAUUUGCCACCCCUUGGCCCAACGAGCUCUCAGAUCCAUUCCAACUCUAUUUAAUUCAUGAAAAUUCUGGCCCUGGAUUUUGUCAUUUCUCUGCAGUGUUGGAAGAAAAAUAGGAACCGCUUAUCUGUGAUUCCACAGAGCAGAAUCCUGCCAGAAGCAGAUCCCUGCUGUUCUCCUGACAGAUCAUGGGCUGUGCUCAGAACUUCAGGGGCAGGGGUGUAGGGGCCUGCCACAAAUGACAGGAGGCCACGAUUCCAUUUCGUCUUCUUCCUUAACUCUGAUCCACAUGAAUGGAAAGCUUUCCUUGCUCUGACAUUACUGGAACAUCACAUAGUUCUCUUAUGAAAUGAAUCUCUAUUGCUGAAGUGGCUUGAUAUCAACAAUAAGGCAGCCAAAGAGGUACAUGGAAAAACCCCACUGUCUUCCCAUGCUGAUUGGCUUACAGGAUGAGGGGGUGAUGGAGGGCCAGUGAGUCAGAGCUAUUUCUACAGAAGACAUCCAGAAACACCAAGUUAAGUCAAGUUGCUGAGUCUGUGGUGAGCCCAAGACAGGAGGUAACAGAAGAAUGGAAAAUCAGGACAGCAUUGAAAUCUGAUGCUGAGUUGACAAGUUGCUGUCAAAUGCCAAGCACAGAGGACAGCAGGAAGUGAGCCAACUGCAGAGAGCUGAGCACCUGGCCAGAUCAUCAGGCUACCUCUGUCCAGACCUCAGCAGUGCCCAGGCCUUCACGUAGCAGUCACAGGUCACUGCAUCCUGCCAAAAAAAGGCAGUCCAUUCUUCAAGGUGUCUGUUUGAGUCUAGUGUCAAAUUACCCCAGAUUGUCAGCAAGUGCCUGUGGCCCUGGCUUGCCCUGGUAGAUGAGUCAGCCCAGCUGUGAAGAAAGCCCUGCCGGGCCCUGGGAGGCCAACGCAUGCCAGCUGAGGCAAGAAGACAGCAUCAGCCCUGAAGCCUGUGUGGACAAGGAGCCCACUCCCUAACUGAGGCCUGGGACCCCUAACCCCACCCCGACUUCAGAUGGGGCUGUGUUUCCAGGACUGCCUCAUACCCCAUUUCAAAUCAGGCUACUCAACAGUGACAUUUAGUAACAGAAAUCAUGAAGAUUCAUUAGAUGACUCAGAGAAAAAACAAACAAACACUCUCUCCAAGAAAGAGAAAUUCACAGGAAGGGGCCACAUCCAUCCAGUUCUGCCCUUCCCGUUUCUCUAGCUCAGUGGUUCUCAAAGUGUGGUCCCUGGACCAGCAGGAGUGACAGAUUUUUGCCACGACACCACUUCAGUAAUGUUAAUUAAAUAUAUUUCCAUUCUUUUAAGAGUCAACAUAGCUUAGUGAGAAGAGCAGAAGCUCUGGAGCUUGUUAGAAAUGCCCCACCCCAGACCUCUUGAAUCAGAAAUACUGGGGUGGGGCCCAGCCAUCGGUGGCCUAACCAGCCUUCCAGGCGAUUCUGAAGCCUGCUGAAGUUUGAGAACAAGGACGUCUCCAGCUGAACCAGCCACCCCUCAGGAGUAGAGGGAAUUCCUGCUCCCCGGCCCAACUUUGUUAUGGAAACCUCCCAGGACAAUCUGCAUCAGCGAGCUGAUCCUAGUCCCCAGCAGCAGGUGACAAAAGGAUCUGGCCUCAGGACUGUGUCAUCCCUAGGACGUGAUAACAGGCCAUUGUGGCUGGGGCAUAUUAGUGGGUGCAAAAGGAGAUAUAAAUCUCGUAUUUGGGAAAGGAAUGGGAGGGACUGAAGAGCAAGGAAAACUAAGCCCCUUCUUAUCUCCUCAAUGCUCAGCCACUAGAAACUCGUAAUUAGAGCUAUUAAUAGCCACCAUUUAUGUAGAAGCUGCCAUGAGCCAGGCACAGUGGGACAUACUUUACCUGUUUCAUCUCUCAGCAAAUUUUGAGGGACGUAGCUUUAUCCACCCCAUUUGAUAGAAGAAGAAACUGAGGCUCAGUGAAGCUAGACGUCUUGUUGGAGUGUGUUCUUUGCACGCAUGAGUUGGGACCCGACCUCACGUCUAAGUGGGCCAUCUUGACCACAGCACUGCCUUAAUCCAACAACCAUCGUCCCUCCCCACCCCCUCCACUCUUCAAAGGGCCUCAUCGUGGGUGAUGUGGGGCCAGACUAAGACCAGGAAUGUGGACUUUCUCACACAUAGUAGGUGCUUAACAGAUGGUAGUGCUCUCUCCUUGCCUCUUUGGACACCCACAAUGGAGUGAUUCAGAGCCCAAGUUUUGGGCAGAUUGUACAUGCAUGGGCUAAAUGGGCUCUGAGAGUCAGCAUCCAGCUUCACAAAACAGGAAUAAUGAUAGCUGCCUCCCGGGGAUGUUAUGGAGAUGCAAUCUGCUAUGUCUAUAGCUAUGUCUAUAAAGCUAUGUCUAUAAAGCAC